rnacentral:piRNA from 1 species
UGGCGUUUUCUAAAGUUUUCUGAUUGAUUGU